AUCGGGAUGAGGAAUGAGCAAGC
rnacentral:piRNA from 1 species